rnacentral:lncRNA from 1 species
GUUUUAUGGUUUGCCUUGCCAUCUUGCUAACCUUGGUACAUCCCGAUGGUGAACCAAAUGAUAGAACAUUGUUGAUGCACAUAGUUACACCUAUGCUAUUUUGGAUUGAUUUGGCUCAAGCUCAUGGGUUGGGUAUAGGCUUGGCAAUGAGCCAGAUCGGAUGCGAGUUUGGGUCAAUCCGAGCCCGGCCCGAUAUCCGAUCUACCAUUCUGAUCCAAACCCGAUCCAUGAUCUGGUGGGUCAAUACUUUUUUUACCCAUACUCCGAUCGGGUAUCAGUUUAUCCGAUCAGGUAUCCAUCCC